AUUGAACGCUGGCGGCAUGCUUAACACAUGCAUGUCGAACGGUAACAGGCCCUUCGGGGUGCUGACGAGUGGCGGACGGGUGAGUAAUGCUUAGGAAUCUGCCUAGUAGUGGGGAUAACCCGGGGAAACUCGGGCUAAUACCGCAUACACCCUACGGGGGAAAGCGGGGGACUUUCGGGCCUCGCGCUAUUAGAUGAGCCUAAGUCCGAUUAGCUAGUUGGGUAGGGUAAUGGCCUACCAAGGCGACGAUCGGUAGCUGGUCUGAGAGGACGACCAGCCACACUGGGACUGAGACACGGCCCAGACUCCUACGGGAGGCAGCAGGUGGGGAA
rnacentral:rRNA from 1 species